GCGCAGCAGUCGAGAAAACUUUACAAUGUGCGAAAGCACGAUAAGGGAACUCUGAGUGCCUCCUAAGGAGGCUGUUCUGAUGUCUAAAAAGCAACAGAAGUAAGGGCUGGGUAAGACCGGUGCCAGCCGCCGCGGUAACACCGGCAGCCCAAGUGGUAGCCACGUUUAUUGGGUCUAAAGCGUUCGUAGCCGGCCAGGUAAGUUCCUUGGUAAAUUUAGCCGCUUAACGGUUAAGCCUUCAGGGAAUACUGCUUGGCUUGGGACUGGGGAGAGGUCAGAGGUACUCCGGGGGUAGGGGUGAAAUCUAUUAAUCCCUGGGGGACCACCGGUAGCGAAGGCGUCUGACCAGACCAGGUCCGACGGUGAGGGACGAAGGCUAGGGGCGCGAACCGGAUUAGAUA
rnacentral:rRNA from 1 species